GGGCCUGUAGCUCAGCAAGGUAGAGCAUCGGGCUUUUAAGACCAAUGGUCGAGGAGACCCGGUGGUCAGGGGUUCAACUCCCCUCGGGCCCG
rnacentral:tRNA from 1 species